GGGGUUGUGGCUUAGUGGUAGAGUGCUCACCUACCAUGUGUGAGGCACUGGGUUUGAUCCUCAGCACCACA
rnacentral:tRNA from 1 species